ACAGGUUUUCGGCUCUAUGAGCUAAGAUCAAGUGUAGUAUCUGUUCUUAUCAGUUUAAUCUCUUCUUAUGAAUACUUGCAACACCUGCACUGAAGAUGGAUUCUCCGGCUGCUAUUUUUGAAAAACUGAUGCUGCUUUGAAGGUGUAUUCUGCUGCUGCUACCUUGGAAGGAAAUUCUCUCUCUGCUCCUGAGACAUCCC
rfam:Chelonia mydas contig159899, whole genome shotgun sequence.